AGCGCUUUGGGGAGUGAGUUCCGGCCAUGCGGGGCCUCUACCGCUGCCAUCGCGGUCCCGGUCUCCUGAAGUGGAACCCGGCUUGGAGUCGAGCGCGACCCCUCGCCCGUGGGCGCAGGCGAUCGAGUUAGGGUGGGGCGGGCCUCAAACCCGGAUCAGAACCCGCUCUGACCGGCGCAGAGAUACGGGACGCAGCCGUGAGCACUGUUUUUUAUUUCACCAUGGACCCAUCGGCGUGGGGCGCCCGCCCCGGGUGCCCUUCCUCCCCCGGGCAGCCAGAUGCUGGAACGGGAGGCACAUGUUCCGGCCCCAGCCCAUGGGAAGGAAAGAAAGGACCUUCCCGUUUCACUUGUCUCGGCUGAACAUGUAGCGGAGGAGGUCGACCACCCGGUGACUGUAGCCAUAUUCGUUGUCGUACCUGUGGAGGAGGGGUCGGGAGGUUCAAGGGGGUUCCUUCCGACCACCCCUUAGUUCCGCUCCCUCUAAGUCUCCAGCUCCUUCCCCCUUACCAUGAAAUGAGCUUCACGAAAUUGUCAUUGAGCGCAAUGCCGGCCUUAGCAUCGAAGAUGGACGAGUGGGUAUCACCGAGGAAGUCCGUAGAGACGACCUGGAAGUCAGAAUUUCAAAGAUAAGUGUGUCCGGCAGAGCAAGGACCUCCAGGAGCUGAGGACCCGACUCUUAGCUCUAUCGCCCAUCCAUGCAUUCAUCUAUAAUAUUUGAUGUAGCCUUACUGUGUCCAGUCUCUGGACUGGAGGGUAUGACCAAGGCACUGUGUCAGGGUCUGGCCAAAGGGCACAGGUCACAAACACCCUCAUGCUGUACCAGUACAUCCCUUUCCUAGGAAUAAUGCAAGCAUUUGGAAUGGGCCAGCAUGGAGGGCCUCUCUGAGGGGUGGCCAUGAGCCUGGGUCUAGAUGACUAGAAAGAUCUGACUGGCUGGGGCCCUCAGCACAGUGUCUGAGGUAGAAGGAGCAGCAGGAAGAGAGGACCUGAGGAUUUUAGCUCUAGUGUCAUGAAAGGCCACAGGAGUGUUUUCAAUCCUGAAAACGGGUGAUGCAAUGUGAUUCCAUUAAAACAAAAGAUCCCAGUGACUGUGGGAAAGUGGACCUGAAGGAGUUAACGCAGGGAGAGAGCACCAAGGUGGAUGUACAGGAGUCCACCAUGACGAUGGCAUCCACUCCUCACAGAGAAGGCAUCUGGCCAUGGCCUGGCCCUGAGCAAGUAUUGAAAAAAAUGGGAGCUGUUGUCUUUUGUUCACUAAGCAUGUAUUAGUCACCUGCUGUAUGCCAGGUUGGAGCCACAAAAGUGAAAACGCAGCCCCUAAAUCCCUGUUUUCUUGGAGUGCACACACCACUGGGGCCAACAGUGACUAUGAAAUGAAAUUUCAGGUGAGGAAUAUGGCCACAAAAAGAACAUCUUUUGAGGGGGUGCCUUGCUGAAGAGGGAGGUUCCUCCAGAGACUUGGAGGAAGUAAAGACAGACUGUAUGGUCACCUGGCAAGGGAAGCAUUCCAGACUAAAGGAACAGCAAGUGCAAAGGCCCUGAAGCAGGGAGAUCUCCCUUCCCACCCUGCAGUUUCUGUCUUGGCACAUUGAGAGCAGCUCCCUGGCAAGUGGAAAUCAUGUCCCUUCCCAGAGGGCUCCUCCCAGGGUCUCCUCUCCUCAGCCCCUACCUCAUCCUCGGUGUAGGCAAGGAUGCCAGCCAUGGGCCCCUUGGCUGCUGCUUUUACAGCCUCCUUGAUGGCUGAGUAGGGGGCAGGCUGGGCGAGGCGGCAGGUCAGGUCCACGACAGACACAUCCGGGGUUGGUACCCGGAACGCCAUCCCUGUCAGCUUCCUGGAGAAUCCCCCAUGAGGAACAGGAGUCAGAACUUAGGGACGUUGUCCUCCAUUCCCCCUUGCCCUGUGGCUGGGCCAGGCCCCUGCUUUCCUCUUAAGGACUGAGGGCCGGGCCAGUCCAGUCCUCCCGGCGUAUGCCCCCACCCUGGUUGCAGCUUCUUGUCCUCAUACCCUUUGAGCUCUGGGAUGACUUUGGUCACAGCUUUCGCAGCCCCAGUGGAGGCUGGGAUGAUGUUCUGGUGGGCACCCCGCCCAUCUCGCCAGGCCUUCCUUGAUGGCCCGUCCACCGUCUUCUGGGUGGCCGUGUAGGAAUGGACUGUGGUCUUGGGGAAGAGAAGGACCAAGAUGAGGCCUUCAUGCUCCUAAGCUCCCAUGCCUCUUUUUUCCAGGACUAAGUUGGUGGCCUAGGUGUGGAGGCUGGUGGGGCCACCACCACAGACCACAGGAGGGGAUGUGUACAGGCCAGGGUCCAGCCUUGCCUGAGGAUUGCACAGUGUUUUAAAUGACUUCUGCACUGGUGGGCCUCUCCUCCCGAAACCAGUCUCUCCCUCUUAACUCCAUACAGUAAGCAAGGCCCGGGAAGAAGUUGGGUUUCCCUGCCAUCCUUCCUGCCCCAGUCCCUCAUCCUCAACUCACCAUCAACCCUUCCACGAUCCCAAAUCGCUCGUGGAUGACUUUGGUGAGGGGAGCCAAACAGUUGGUGGUGCAGGACGCGUUGCUGAAACAGCCAAGGUGUGCACGGACACUGUGAGAGGCGCCAACGCUGACUGCUGUCAGCCAGCCCAGACCCUUUCUCCAUAUGCUGCCCGGGACGUGGACUCUGUGACUGUGAGGCCUGCCCGGCUGCUUUCUGCUUCCCAGCCCUGACAACCUCGCCACGAACCCUCCUAGACCCUCAGCUCCUGCAAUAGGAAGCUGGCUGCCAAAGGCCAGGAGAGUCCCUGAAAACAGACACUGCAUUAAAGAAAAAGCUCCUGGAGGACUCCUGAAGCCUGAGGCAGCCUUGGGGCAGCAGUGGCUCAUGGUUUACAUUAGAAAGGUAAGGGAGGUUUCUGGUUUCCUGUUUUAUAAAUUUAUGUUUUUACUUGGUAUUUUGACAAACAUUUGUAUUUGAAGCACAUUAAACAUCUAGUAUUGCCGUUUUCUACUUGGCUUUAGCAAACAAGCAUUAAGUGAAUAAACUGUUCCACUUUCUUCCUUCCCAGGUUUAUCAUGAGUAACCGGGUGCUUUGCUUCUGUGAUUCUUGGCCAGUGUCGGUCUGUUUCCUUUGCCAUUGAGCCUGCCCCUCUCAAUGGGGGGUUCAAUCAAUGUUUGUGGGGUUUGUUUGUUUUGAGACAGGGUCUUCCUCUGUCGCCCAGGCUGGAGUGCAGUGGUGCAAUCAGAGCUCACCGCAGCCUUGAUCUUCCUGGCUCCGGCCAUCCUCCUGCCUUGGCCUCCCGAGUAGCUGGGACUACAGGCGCACACCACCAUGCCCAGCUAAUUUUUAAAUUUUUUUGUAGGGAUGGGGUCUCACUUUUGUUGCCCAGGGUGCUUUAGAACCCCUGGGCUCAAGUGAUCCUUGGCCUCCCACAGUGCUGGGAUUACAGGUGUGAGCCACCAUGCCUGGCCUCAUGGGUUCUCUUUGUUUGUUUUGUUUUGUUUUGUUUUUGAGACAGAGUCUCACUCUGUCACUCAGGCUGGAGUGCAGUGGCACGAUUUUGGCUCACUGCAACCUCCACCUUCCGGGUUCAAGUGAUUUUCCUGCCUCUGCCUCCCGAGUAGUUGGGGUUACAGGCAUGUGCUACCACACCUGGCUAGUUUUUUAUUGUUGUUGUUUUUUGUAUUUUUAGUGGUGACGGGGUUUUGCUCUGUUGGCCAGACUGGUCUCAAACUCCUGACCUCAGGUGAUCCCCACCUCAGCCUCCCAAAGUGCUGGGAUGACAGGCAUGAGCCGCUGCACCUGGCCUCGUGUUUUUUUUCUUUUUUUUUUUUUUCUUUUUUUUUUUAGUUAGCCAUUUUGUACAUGUUUACUGAAUACCUGUCUUGUGCCCAUAUUCUAAGUGCCUUACCUGUAUUAAACUCAUGUAACCUUUACAACCCAA